GACGAACGCUGUCGGCGUGCUUAACACAUGCAAGUCGAACGGAAAGGCCCUGCUUUUGUGGGGUGCUCGAGUGGCGAACGGGUGAGUAACACGUGAGUAACCUGCCCUUGACUUUGGGAUAACUUCAGGAAACUGGGGCUAAUACCGGAUAGGAGCUCCUGCUGCAUGGUGGGGGUUGGAAAGUUUCGGCGGUUGGGGAUGGACUCGCGGCUUAUCAGCUUGUUGGUGGGGUAGUGGCUUACCAAGGCUUUGACGGGUAGCCGGCCUGAGAGGGUGACCGGCCACAUUGGGACUGAGAUACGGCCCAGACUCCUACGGGAGGCAGCAGUGGGGAAUAUUGCACAAUGGGCGGAAGCCUGAUGCAGCAACGCCGCGUGCGGGAUGACGGCCUUCGGGUUGUAAACCGCUUUCGCCUGUGAUGAAGCGUGAGUGACGGUAAUGGGUAAAGAAGCACCGGCUAACUACGUGCCAGCAGCCGCGGUGAUACGUAGGGUGCGAGCGUUGUCCGGAUUUAUUGGGCGUAAAGGGCUCGUAGGUGGUUGAUCGCGUCGGAAGUGUAAUCUUGGGGCUUAACCCUGAGCGUGCUUUCGAUACGGGUUGACUUGAGGAAGGUAGGGGAGAAUGGAAUUCCUGGUGGAGCGGUGGAAUGCGCAGAUAUCAGGAGGAACACCAGUGGCGAAGGCGGUUCUCUGGGCCUUUCCUGACGCUGAGGAGCGAAAGCGUGGGGAGCGAACAGGCUUAGAUACCCUGGUAGUCCACGCUGUAAACGGUGGGUACUAGGUGUGGGGUCCAUUCCACGGGUUCCGUGCCGUAGCUAACGCUUUAAGUACCCCGCCUGGGGAGUACGGCCGCAAGGCUAAAACUCAAAGGAAUUGACGGGGCCCCGCACAAGCGGCGGAGCAUGCGGAUUAAUUCGAUGCAACGCGUAGAACCUUACCUGGGUUUGACAUGGAUCGGGAGUGCUCAGAGAUGGGUGUGCCUCUUUUGGGGUCGGUUCACAGGUGGUGCAUGCCUGUCGUCAGCUCGUGUCGUGAGAUGUUGGGUUAAGUCCCGCAACGAGCGCAACCCUUGUUCACUGUUGCCAGCACGUUAUGGUGGGGACUCAGUGGAGACCGCCGGGGUCAACUCGGAGGAAGGUGGGGAUGACGUCAAGUCCUCAUGCCCCUUAUGUCCAGGGCUUCACGCAUGCUACAAUGGCUGGUACAGAGAGUGGCGAGCCUGUGAGGGUGAGCGAAUCUCGGAAAGCCGGUCUCAGUUCGGAUUGGGGUCUGCAACUCGACCUCAUGAAGUCGGAGUCGCUAGUAAUCGCAGAUCAGCAACGCUGCGGUGAAUACGUUCCCGGG
rnacentral:rRNA from 1 species